GCUCAGACGAACGCUGGCGGCGUGCCUAAUACAUGCAAGUCGAGCGGAGCACUUCGGUGCUUAGCGGCGGACGGGUGAGUAACACGUAGGCAACCUGCCUAUAAGACUGGGAUAACUAUCGGAAACGAUAGCUAAGACCGGAUAACUGGUUUUCUCGCAUGAGAGAAUCAUGAAACACGGAGCAAUCUGUGGCUUAUAGAUGGGCCUGCGGCGCAUUAGCUAGUUGGUAGGGUAACGGCCUACCAAGGCGACGAUGCGUAGCCGACCUGAGAGGGUGAACGGCCACACUGGGACUGAGACACGGCCCAGACUCCUACGGGAGGCAGCAGUAGGGAAUCUUCCGCAAUGGACGCAAGUCUGACGGAGCAACGCCGCGUGAGUGAUGAAGGUUUUCGGAUCGUAAAGCUCUGUUGCCCUAGACGAAUAGCAAGGYGAGUAACUGCRCUUUGUGUGACGGUAUAGGAGAAGAAAGCCCCG
rnacentral:rRNA from 1 species